CUACGGGUCGCAGCAGUGAGGAAUAUUGCACAAUGGGGGGAACCCUGAUGCAGCAACGCCGCGUGGAGGAUGACGCAUUUCGGUGUGUAAACUCCUUUUAUAUGUCAAGAAAAUGACGGUAGCAUAUGAAUAAGCACCGGCUAACUCCGUGCCAGCAGCCGCGGUAAUACGGAGGGUGCAAGCGUUACUCGGAAUCACUGGGCGUAAAGGACGCGUAGGCGGGUUGGAAAGUCAGGUGUGAAAUCCUACAGCGUAACUGUAGAACUGCACUUGAAACUUCUAAUCUAGAGUAUGGGAGGGAGAGAUGGAAUUCGUGGUGUAGGGGUAAAAUCCGUAGAUAUCACUAGGAAUACCUAAAGCGAAGGCGAUCUCCUGGAACAUUACUGACGCUAAGGCGUGAAAGCGUGGGGAGCAAACAGGAUUAGAUACCCCCGUAGUC
rnacentral:rRNA from 1 species